UAGGAAAUGGCAAUCCACUCCAGUAUUCUUGCCUGGAGAAUUCCACGGACACAGGAGGCUGGUGGACUACAGUCCAUGGGCUGCAAAGAGUUGGACACAACUGAAGCUACUGAGCACAGACAUACACAUUCCAACCUUUUAAGAUUAUUCUGGAUCCAACUGGCAUGGAGGUGGGGAAAAUCAGAGAUCUGCCAACUGAUUCUGCCUUUCCUGAUAAAAAAGAUGGUUGCUUACAUGAAAGCAACAACUAUUGGCUACAUUUCCUGCAUUUAGAGAAGCCCAUCAAGGAAAAUGAGUCGUCAUUGACUUUCCAAAGGCUACGAUCAGUCAUUAAUUUCAGCAGAGCCUACUUUUAAAAAAAGAAGACUGACUCAUUCCAACAGGCUUCAAGGCAAGGAAGGGAAAGAGGUUGUAGAGGAGCAGCUCACCUUAUGCCAGAAGAAGGGACGAAAGCAGGAAAGAAGGGG